rnacentral:misc_RNA from 1 species
GAUGAAGAACGUAGCGAAAUGCGAUAAGUAAUGUGAAUUGCAGAAUUCAGUGAAUCAUCGAGUCUUUGAACGCACAUUGCGCCCCCUGGUAUUCCGGGGGGCAUGCCUGUCCGAGCGUCAUUGCUGCCCUCAAGCACGGCUUGUGUGUUGGGCCGCCGUCCCCGGUUUCCCCCGGGGACGGGCCCGAAAGGCAGCGGCGGCACCGCGUCCGAUCCUCGAGCGUAUGGGGCUUUGUCACCCGCUCUGUAGUCCCGGCCGGCGCCAGCCGACACCCAACUUUAUUUCUAAGGUUGACCUCGGAUCAGGUAGGGAUACCCGCUGAACUUAAGCAUAUCAAUAAGCGGAGGA